rnacentral:tRNA from 3 species
GCCGAGGUGACGGAAUAGGCAUACGUACUGUGCUUAAAACGCAGGUUCUGUGGGUUCGAUCCCCGCCCUCGGCACCA